rnacentral:tRNA from 1 species
AAGAAAUUAGUUAAUUUAUAACAUUAAUUUGUCAAAUUAAAAUUAUUAUUUUAUAAUAUUUCUUU